AACGAACGCUGGCGGCAUGCCUAACACAUGCAAGUCGAACGAGACCUUCGGGUCUAGUGGCGCACGGGUGCGUAACGCGUGGGAACCUGCCCUUAGGUUCGGAAUACCUCCCCGAAAGGGGUGCUAAUACCGGAUAAUGUCUUCGGACCAAAGAUUUAUCGCCUUUGGAUGGGCCCGCGUUGGAUUAGCUAGUUGGUAGGGUAAAAGCCUACCAAGGCGACGAUCCAUAGCUGGUCUGAGAGGAUGAUCAGCCACACUGGGACUGAGACACGGCCCAGACUCCUACGGGAGGCAGCAGUGGGGAAUAGUGGACCAUGGGCGAAAGCCUGAUCCAGCAAUGCCGCGUGAGUGAUGAAGGCCUUAGGGUUGUAAAGCUCUUUUACCCGGGAUGAUAAUGACAGUACCGGGAGAAUAAGCUCCGGCUAACUCCGUG
rnacentral:rRNA from 1 species